UUUCAUAAUCUACCGUUAAAUGAAAAUGUGAGGGGGAAUUUAUGAUUGAUGAUAAGGAGCAGACGGUGCGAUUGGUGCUGAUAACGUACGAAUGAGAUGACCUAGAUUCUAAAUUAUUAUACAAUUUAUGUAAAAAUAGAAGUAAAAUAUUAAAAUUCAAAGCAGCAUUCAAGGGGCUGCAGUUUAUUUCAGUUAAAAUGUUUCAAAAAGCAAAGAUGAUUUUUAUUAAUUAACAAAAGUGAUGAAUAACUUCCCAUUCUGCUUUAACCUAGAGCAGGGGUUCCCAACCACAUUCUUGGAGCCCCUCAACACUGCGCAUUUUACAUGUCUCUUGUCUUAAUUUUUUCCCACAAUUGCGAGUUUACAUCUCGCAAUUCUGACUUAUUUUCUCAGAACUACAUGAUAUAAAGUCGCGAUUGCGAGUUAUAAAGUCAGAAUUACGUGAUAUAAAGUCACAGUUGCGAGUUAUAAAGUCAGAAUUGCAUAAUAUAAAGUCACAGUUGCGAGUUAUAAAGUCAGAAUUACGUGAUAUAAAGUCACAGUUGCGAGUUAUAAAGUCAGAAUUGCGAUAUAAAGUCACAAUUGCGUGUUAUAAAGUCAGAAUUGCGAUAUAAAGUCACAAUUGCGUGUUAUAAAGUCAGAAUUGCGAUAUAAAGUCACAAUUGCAUGUUAUAAAGUCAAAAUUGAUAUAAACUCGCAGUUUUGAAAAAAAAAGUCAGUCUUUUUUCCUCAGAAUUGGACUUUAUAAUUUGCAAUUGCAAGUUUAUAUCUCACAAUUCUGAGAAAAGAAGUCAGAAUUGCAAGAUAUAAACUCACAAUUGCGAGAAAAGUCAGAAUUGCGAGGAAAAAAAAGUCAGAAAUGCAAAAUAUAAACCCACAAUAGUGAAGAAAAAGUCAGAAUUGUGAGUUUAUAUCUUGCAAUUUUGAGAUAAAAAGUCGUAAUUAUCUUUAAAAAACUUUUAUUCUGUGGUGAAAACAAGCUUCCAUACUAUAGGCAAUGGCCAAAUAGUACAUACUUUCUGUGCCUGUGUGAGAGAAAAUAACUCUCCAUACCAGCAGGUGGCAGUAGUCUGUACAAGGGAAAUGAACCGAAGAUGAAAAAUGAUAAGAGUCUUCUUUGUGUGUCCUCUUGACUUCGUAGUUUGCUUGCUUUCAUCACUUCGGGGUUUUUUUUUCGUACACUAGUUCGCUAAGCUAAAUCGGGGGUGCGUUUCCCAAAAGUAUCGUAAAGCCAACUAUGUUUGCAAUUUCUGCUGAGCUCUGUUGGUAAUGACCGAACUUGUGACCAUAGUUGCUUUUGGGAAAUGCACCCCGGAGUGAUCUCUCUCACCGACAGGCUCCGCCACCAAUUCAACAUGCUCAAUCAUCCGAAAAGCCUCCACCGGCAGUCCUAGUAGUGCCGACAGUGUGAAACACACAGAAAAAAUAAGACUGACAGAUUCUCAACAACUUUGGCUCACUUUGCAUUGGCUGACUGUCAGCUUGGUGUGUCACAGCCUUAACAGAAAGACGUUUAUUAACACGAGAAAUGAUUUUGAAGCCAAUCUACUAUAAAUGCCUAUUCACACCAAGAACAAAGUAAAAAAAUGCAGAUGAAAGAGCAAGAAAAGAAGCACUCCGGAUUCUGGGAAAAAAUAGCAAAAAAAAAAAAAAAAUGCUGGUCCCUGGUCCUGGCAUGCAAAUCUCAUUGUUCAGUGAUUUCCAAAUGAAGAAAGAAAAAAAAUGUGUUAACUCAUUAUGGACGUACAAAAUUUCAUUUUUCGUCUCUGCAUUUCCCAAAAGCAUUAUAAGCAUAAUUUGAUCGUAACAAGAGACCAUUGGUGCCAGUGCUUUCUACCAUCUACUUAAAGGGUUAGUUCACCCAAAAAUGAAAUGUUACGCUGCAUGUUUGAGCUUCCUCAAGAACCAAUGAGGUUCAUUCUCGUGUUACGCAGCAUGUUUGAGCUUCCUCAAGAACCAAUGAGGUUCAUUCUCGUGUUACGCAGCAUGUUUGAGCUUCCUCAAGAACCAAUGAGGUUCAUUCUCGUGUUACGCAGCAUGUUUGAGCUUCCUCAAGAACCAAUGAGGUUCAUUCUCGUGUUACGCAGCACGUUUGAGCUUCCGGAAGAACCAAUGAGGUUCAUUCUCGUGUUACGCAGCACGUUUGAGCUUCCGCAAGAACCAGUGAGGUUCAUUCUCGUGUGUUACGCAGCACGUUUGAGCUUCCGCAAGAACCAAUGAGGUUCAUUCUCCUGUGUUACGCAGCACAUUUGAGCUUCCGCAAGAACCAAUGAGGUUCAUUCUCCUGUGUUACGCAGCACGUUUGAGCUUCCGGAAGAACCAAUGAGGUUCAUUCUCGUGUUACGCAGCACGUUUGAGCUUCCGCAAGAACCAGUGAGGUUCAUUCUCCUGUGUUACGCAGCACGUUUGAGCUUCCGGAAGAACCAAUGAGGUUCAUUCUCCUGUGUUACGCAGCACGUUUGAGCUUCCGCAAGAACCAGUGAGGUUCAUUCUCGUGUGUUACGCAGCACGUUUGAGCUUCCGCAAGAACCAAUGAGGUUCAUUCUCCUGUGUUACGCAGCACGUUUGAGCUUCCGCAAGAACCAAUGAGGUUCAUUCUCCUGUGUUACGCAGCACGUUUGAGCUUCCGCAAGAACCAAUAAGGUUCAUUCUCGUGUUACGCAGCACGUUUGAGCUUCCGGAAGAACCAAUGAGGUUCAUUCUCCUGUUACGCAGCACGUUUGAGCUUCCGCAAGAACCAAUGAGGUUCAUUCUCGUGUUACGCAGCAUGUUUGAGCUUCCGGAGGAACCAAUGAGGUUCAUCCUCUGUGUUACGCAGCAUGUUUGAGCUUCCUCAAGAGGUUUGUUCUUGUGCACCAAGCAGGUUCAGUUAAGCUUUUGUUUAUGUUCGCUAAGAAAUGUUUAUAUGUGAAUAAAAGCUUAAAUGAAAUCUUUUCAUCAUUUAAAGCAAUUGAAUCUCUUCAGAAAAUUUGGACUAAACCACUCAGUUCAUAUGGAUUAGUUUUGUGAUCUCUUUAUGAACUUUUUGAAACAUAAAAGUGUCAGUUGUGUAGCUGUCUGUGGAAGGUGAAUAAUUAAUGACAGAAUUUUCAUUUUUGGGUAAAUUAUCCCUUUAAGCUUUAUCCCUUUAAGCCUGAAUAGGCUUUGAGAGAAUGUUUGAGAGAAAUAGAGAAAACGGUGCAUUUCUCUCAAAGCGUGAGAUCAUUCCAAAAUUGAUAAUUUCAUGUGAU